CUGCUAAGACUGGAUAGGAAAAGUAAAGGCAUCUUUACUUUUUUAAAAGACCUUCUUUGGAGGUAUGCUUAAGGAGGGGCUUGCGACACAUUAGUUAGUUGGCAGGGUAAAGGCCUACCAAGACUAUGAUGUGUAGCUGGACUGAGAGGUUGAACAGCCACAUUGGGACUGAGACACGGCCCAAACUCCUACGGGAGGCAGCAGUAGGGAAUUUUCGGCAAUGGAGGAAACUCUGACCGAGCAACGCCGCGUGAACGAUGAAGUACCUCGGUAUGUAAAGUUCUUUUAUUAAGGAAGAAAAAAGAGUGGAAAAACUCCCUUGACGGUACUUAAUGAAUAAGCCCCGGCUAAUUAUGUGCCAGCAGCCGCGGUAAUACAUAAGGGGCGAGCGUUAUCCGGAAUUAUUGGGCGUAAAGGGUGCGUAGGCGGUUUAAUAAGUCUAUAGUUUAAUUUCAGUGCUUAACGCUGUUGUGCUAUAGAAACUGUUUUACUAGAGUGAGAUAGAGGCAAGCGGAAUUCCAUGUGUAGCGGUAAAAUGCGUAAAUAUAUGGAGGAACACCAGAGGCGUAGGCGGCUUGCUGGGUCUUUACUGACGCUGAGGCGCGAAAGCGUGGGGAGCAAACAGGAUUAGAUACCCUGGUAGUCCACGCCGUAAACGAUGAGUACUAAGUGUCGGGUAAAACCGGUACUGAAGUUAACACAUUAAGUACUCCGCCUGAGUAGUACGUACGCAAGUAUGAAACUUAAAGGAAUUGACGGGACUCCGCACAAGCGGUGGAUCAUGUUGUUUAAUUCGAAGAUACACGAAAAACCUUACCAGGUCUUGACAUUUUCUUGCGAAGUUAUAGAAAUAUAAUGGAGGUUAUCAGGAAAACAGGUGGUGCAUGGUUGUCGUCAGCUCGUGUCGUGAGAUGUUAGGUUAAGUCCUAAAACGAGCGCAACCCUUGUCGUUAAUUGCCAGCAUGUAAUGAUGGGGACUUUAACGAGACUGCCAAUGAAAAAUUGGAGGAAGGUGGGGAUUACGUCAAAUCAUCAUGCCCCUUAUGAUCUGGGCUACAAACGUGAUACAAUGGUUGAUACAAAGAGUAGCUGAAACGCGAGUUCUUAGCCAAUCUCACAAAAUCAAUCUCAGUUCGGAUUGAAGUCUGCAACUCGACUUCAUGAAGUUGGAAUCGCUAGUAAUCGCGAAUCAGCAUGUCGCGGUGAAUACGUUCUCGGGGUUUGUACAC
rnacentral:rRNA from 1 species